GACAGAGGUCCCGAGCGUUAGGCGGAAUCACUGGGCUUAAAGCGUGUGUAGGCGGACUUGUAAGUACCUUGUGAAAUCCCACGGCUUAACCGUGGAACUGCUUGGUAUACUGCUUGUCUUGGGCCACUUAGGGGCUACCGGAACAAACGGUGGAGCGGUGAAAUGCGUAGAUAUCGGGAGGAAUACCUAUGGCGAAAGCAAGUUUCUGGGCCGUUACUGACGCUGAGCUGCGAAAGCUAGGGGAGCAAACAGG
rnacentral:rRNA from 1 species